AGCAGCCGCGGUAAUUCCAGCUCCAAUAGCGUAUAUUAAAGUUGUUGCAGUUAAAAAGCUCGUAGUUGAAUUUCGGGGUUAGUAGGCUGGUCGUGCCACAGGUAUGUACUGGUCUUACUGAUUCCUCCUUCCUGAUGAACCGUAAUGCCAUUAAUUUGGUGUUGCGGGGAAACUGGACUGUUACUUUGAAAAAAUUUAGAAGUGUUUAAAGCAGGCUAACGCUUGAAUACAUUAGCAUGGAAUAACGAAAUAGGACGAUCGAUCUUAUUUUGUUGGUUUCUAGGAUUGACGUAAUGAUUAAUAGGGAUAGUUGGGGGCAUUAGUAUUCAAUUGUCGGAGGUGAAAUUCUUGGAUUUAUUGAAGACUAACUACUGCGAAAGCAUUUGCCAAGGAUGUUUUCAUUAAUCAAGAACGAAAGUUAGGGGAUCGAAGACGAUCAGAUACCGUCGUAGUCUUAACCAUAAACUAUGCUGACUAGGGAUCGGAUGAUGUUAAUUUUUAAUGACUCAUUCGCGCCUUA
rnacentral:rRNA from 1 species